UUAGUAUACUGUAAUAUUUUAAUUUUUUACUUGUAAAAGAUAGUCUCAUAGUUUUCCUCAAAGUCUGCAUGAGAUAUCCUGUUGUGAUUGCUUCUCCAUUUCAAAAUCAGUGCUUCCAUAACAAAGGAGGAUGAUCCUCUCCACUACUGUGACAUCACACAGCAGUGGAGUUAUGAAGUUGGAGUCCACGAUCACUAUUUAGAAUCCAGGAGAAGACACCUGGGAGUAAUGGCCCAGGAUGUCACCCGGUGUUCCUGUAGGCUGGUGCAGGAGGAUAGUGUGUUCCUGUCCAGCCUGGGCAACUUAAUGAGACUAGGCCUCAAAAUAAAGAUAAAAUAAAAAAGAUCCGGGGAUGAAAUUCAGUGGCAGAGCACCCCAGGGCUUGAUUUCCAGUACUACUUGACCAAAAAAAAAAAAAGGAAGAUGAAAUAAACGAAACACAUUCUGCGCCACUGGCUGGGUGUAAUGCAAGGAAGGGACAAAGAUGAAAUGGAAACAUCUUCCUUUUUUGGUCAUAAUAUCACUCCUCAGAGUGUCGAAGCAUCACCUGUUUCUGGCCCAGCUUAUUCCAGGCAAUGCGGAGUACUGGCGAACAUUCAGAAAGCCUGAGGAUUGAAUUCAUCGGCGGAGGACAGUCAUCAUUGUUUAACAGUGCAGAAAGCCUUGCUGACUUUAAUAAUACAUGAGGACUGGUUCGAGCUUUUUUCUCACCUCUACUGUUGACUUUAUGCGUGCUGCCAUGAGCCAUGAAGUCUCCUCUUCAGGCUGUUUUCAGAAGGGGAAAUCAGAAAACAAGAGGUGGAAAAUUUCACUUUUGGUACAGUGACUCUCAUCU
rnacentral:lncRNA from 1 species